rnacentral:rRNA from 1 species
GAUCCUGGCUCAGGAUGAACGCUAGCUACAGGCUUAACACAUGCAAGUCGAGGGGCAGCAUCAUCAAAGCUUGCUUUGAUGGAUGGCGACCGGCGAACGGGUGAGUAACACGUAUCCAACCUGCCGACAACACUGGGAUAGCCUUUCGAAAGAAAGAUUAAUACCGGAUGGCAUAAUUAUUCCGCAUGGGAUGAUUAUUAAAGAAUUUCGGUUGUCGAUGGGGAUGCGUUCCAUUAGG